GUGGUUGUGGCUCAGUGGUAGAGUGCUCGCCUUGCACCCGUGAGGCACUGGGUUCAAACCUCAGCACCACA
rnacentral:tRNA from 1 species